AGCGCGCGCUCCCGUCCGGAAGUACGCUCAACCGCACCUCUGGGAGAAAGCUGUGCGCUAGUGUUUGUGCUUGUCCUGGUUAGACUUCGUGAGAAGAAUGAGGCACAAUGUAAACCACUUCCCCAAGUAACAAGACUGCAUGCAGCGCCAUGUGGGAUCUCAGUUCUCAGACCAGGGCUUAAACUUGGGCUGCAGUGGUGAAAGAGCUGAAUCUUAACCGUUGGACUGCCAAGGAAUUCCCUAGAUUCAAAAUCUUUCUUUUGAAAAUUGUUCCCGGAUGUCACCUCAGUGCCCCCAGAAACACUGGCAGGAAAUCAUCUCUUCACAGAAUCACCACUAUUGUCUCAAAAAGGCAAGUUUUAAUUCUGGUACUUUCUGAAUCUUACCAGAAGGCGUCACAAAUGGUAGGUUUUCCAUUUGCACACGUGUGGGAGUGACAAACACACCACAGCAGUGAUUGUGACAAGCCUUCCAAUUUCAGAAAUGAAAGAAAGAGGUAUACCUACUGUGUCACAGUGGGUUAAGGAUCUGAUGUCUCUGCUGCAUCAAGCUUCGAUCCUUGGCCCAGGAACUUCCAUAUCCUGUGGGCGUGGCUGAAAAAUAAAUAAAUAAAAGGAUUAAAAAAAAAAAAGAAAUGGGAAAGAGUGUGUAUUUAGAAUUGAUGAAGUAUGGAGAAUCUUUCCUAGAAGCCUCUCAUCAAAAUCUCCCCUUAACGGUGAGGUUGGUUGCCCUCCCACCACUGGAUCAAUUACUAGUAUGAGAAAGAAGAUUCUGACUUGUACCUUGGAUUCAUCACAGUGCAUGCACAGAACAUUUAUGUGGGGGUAAGUAAAAAGCAGGGUUUAAAAAGCAGUUUUUUUCUGGCCAUGCCCACAACAUGCAGAAGUUCCCGGGCAGGGAUCAAAAUGUGUCACAGCAGUGACAACGCUGGGUCCUUAACUGCUAGCCCACUAGGGAACUCCAAAAUCAGGAUUUCAUUAACCAGGAAGAGCAGGAAAUGACUGCUGACAGGUCCAAUCUCUUAUCACUUUAUCACUAUUUAUCUCUAUUGAUAUACCCAAGUCAUUUCCAAUUUUCAUUUCACAGACGAAGCUGCAGAGCCCAUUCUUGAGUGUACGUGCAGUUACAAGAACUUCUCUAGGAAACAUACUCUGAGGUGGAAUAUAGCCGAAGUAUAACUAAUCCCAUGUGUCCAUCCCCUCGCUUCACUUCAUCAUAGACUUGUUUCAUCUUCUUCUUCUCCCUUCUUAUGUUUGUUGCUGGAGUAUUUUAAAGCAAGUCUCAGACAUCAUUCCCUUCACCUCUAAACACUUCAGCAUGCUACUCAAAAAGAAAUAGCCAAGUAUUUUCUUACAUAACCACAAUGCCAUUAUCACAUCUAACAAAAUUCAGAGUAAUUCCUUCAUAUCAUUCAAUUACCAAGUCAUACUCAAAUUUCCUCUAUUAUAUAAAAAUAUUCUUUUUGUAAUUACUGUUUAGAAUCAGAUCAAACAAGAGCCCUUUCAUUUGGUUAUGUCUCUUGUGUUUCUUAUAAGUCUUUUAAGUCUUAUGUUUCCCUUAAUCUAGAACAGUCCCCUCCCCUUUUAUUCUUUCUUUCAUUGACUUGAUGAAAUUAGAGUCCAAUGUAAGAUCCUUCCUUUGAGAUCUGGUGUAUUGCUUCCUUGUGGACUGCAUCCUUUAUGCUCAGUAUUUCCUGUGGACUAGAGAUCAGUUUUAAAGCCUUGAUUAUAUUAUGGUUCAUACAUUUUUUUUUUUCCCUUGAGAAUCCAUCCUAGAUGGUACUGUGUACUUUCUCCAUCCCCUUCAGGAAGCAUGUAAUGUGUGUUAUCUCAUUUUUUGCGACACUAAGAUUGAUCCUUGUAGAUGCAAACUAUUACAUUUAGAAUGGAUAGGCAGUGAAGUCCUACUGUACAGCACAGGAAACUAUAUCCAGUCUCUUGGGGUAAUCCGUGGUGGAAGACAGUCUAAGAAAGAUUAUAUAUAUUUAUGUAUUUCAUUAUAUAUGUUUCAUACAUAUAUAUGUAUGACUGGCUCACUCUGCUAUACAGCAGAAAUCACAGCAUUAUAAAUCAAUUAUACUUUAGAAAAGAUAAAUAAAAAAUACUAGAUAACAAUAAAAAAAAUAAAGAUUGAUCCUAGAGUUCAGAUAAUGACAACGUGGUUUUUUUCUUUUUCUUUUUUUUUAUCUUUUUAGCAGCAUAUGGAUAUUCCCAG